AUUUUAACUUAACUUAUGACAUUUUUAGUAAUUGUAUUAUAUUUAAUAGGAAUUUUUAUUUUUUUAUUAAUCGUUAUUAUUUAAUAAUAAUUUUAUUAAGAAUUGAAUUUAUUUAUAUAAGCUUAUUAUUAAUACUUUGCAUUUUUUUUUGCAUAUUUAAUAUUUUAGGUGUAUUUACUUUUUUAAUUAGAAUUGUUUGCGAAGCUGGAUUAGGGUUGAGAAUAUUAGUAAUAAUAAGAUUUUAUUACGGAAAUGAAAUAAUAAAAAUAAUAACUUUAAUUAAAUGUUAAUGUAUAUACCAAUAAUUUUAAUUUUAUGUUUUUUUAUUUUAUGAAUUCUUAUCAAAUUAUAGUUUAUUUAAUAAUUUUAAUAAUUUUAUUAGUGUUAAAAGGUUUAAUAAAUAAUGCUGAGAUAAUUAUAAACUUUUUUAUUUUGAUCUUAUAAGUUUUAGAAUAAUCAGUUUAACAGUUUGAAUUACUUUUUUAAUAUUAAUAGCAAGCCGAUUAAAUAAUCUUUUUCAAAAUAAAAUUUUUACUUUUUACAUUUUAAUAAUAAUAAAUUUAUUAUUCUUUUGUUUUUCAUUUAAUAAUUUUAUAUUAUUUUAUUUAUUUUUUGAAUCAGUUUUAUUCCCAAUUGUUCUAAUAAUUAUAGGGUGAGGAUCACAACCUGAACGAAUUCAAGCCGGAUUUUAUAUACUAAUAUACACAAUUUUUGGUUCAUUACCUUUAUUAGUGUUAAUAUUAACAAAAAGAAUUUCUUUUAUAAUUAUUUAUAAUGAAUGAUUAUUUAGAGAGAUAAAUUGAAUAUUUAUUAUAAUGAUUAUAGGUUUUUUAGUAAAAAUUCCCAUAUUUUUAUUUCAUUUAUGAUUACCAAAAGCACAUGUAGAAGCCCCAAUUUCAGGCUCCAUGAUUUUAGCAGGUGUUUUACUAAAAUUAGGAUUUUAUGGUUUAUACCGAUUUAAAAGAUUUUUUUUAUUGAUUUAAUCAAUUUUAGAAUAAUUAUUAUUGUAAUUUCUUUAUGAGGAGCAGUGAUAAUUAGAAUUUAUUGUUUAUUCCAGAUUGAUAUUAAAUCUUUAAUUGCAUAUUCUUCUGUAUCUCAUAUGGGAAUUGCUUUAAGGGGUUGUUUAACAUUUUAUUUGUAUGGUUCAUAUGGAAUAUUAAUAAUAAUAAUUGGUCAUGGUUUAUGUAGUUCAGGUCUUUUUUGCUUAAGUAAUUUAAUUUAUGAACGAUUUUACACUCGAAAUAUUUUUAUAAUUAAAGGAAUAAAUUUAAUUUUUCCAAAUUUAACUUUAUGAUGAUUUUUAUUUAGAAUUGUUAAUAUAUCAGCCCCUAUAACAAUAAAUUUAUUUAGAGAAUUAUUUUUAGGGUUAAGAGUAAUAAAGUUUAGAAUAUUAUUAAUAAUUCCAAUAAUAAUAUUAAUUUUUUUAAGCGCUUGUUAUUCAAUAUUUAUGUAUAGAUAUAUUAAUCAUGGUCAAAGAUGAAUAAUUUUUAGAAGAAAUAUAAUUUUUGCUCGAGAAUAUUAUUUAUUAUUUUUACAUUUAAUACCUUUAAUAUUAUGAUUUAUAAAAUUUAAUUUUUUUAUAAAAUGAUUAUAAAAGUUUAAUUAGUUUAAAAAAAAUUAUAAAUUGUGAUUUUAUAGAUGAAAGUUUCAUUAAACAAUUUUUAUUAAUUGAACUUUAAUGCUUUUAAUAUUUUCAAUAUUUUUUUUAGUUUGUCUUUUAUUUUUAUUAUACAAUAAUUCAUUUAUUAUUAUUGAAUAUUCUUUAGUAACAAUUUUAAGACAUGAAUUUAAAUUUUACAUUCUAUUAGACUGAAUAAGUUGUAUAUUUUCUUUUAUUGUUUUGUUAAUUUCAAGAAUAGUUUUGUGAUAUAGAUUUAGGUAUAUAAUAUUAGAUAAAAAUAAAAUAUCUUUUUGUUGAAUAGUUUUAUUUUUUAUUCUAUCAAUAUUACUUUUAAUUUUAAUACCCAAUAUAUGUAUAUUAAUUUUGGGAUGAGAUGGCUUAGGUUUAGUAUCUUAUUGUUUAGUUAUUUAUUAUCAAAGAGUGAAUUCAUAUAAUUCAGGAAUAAUAACUAUUAUUAGUAAUCGAGUUGGGGAUGUUAUAAUCAUUAUAAUAAUUAUUUUUGCAAUUAAUUUCAAUUCUUUUGAGCUAGUUUCUUUUCGAAAAUUUGAAUUAAUUUGAGGUUUAUUAAUUAUUAUUGCUGCUAUAACAAAAAGAGCACAAAUUCCAUUUUCAGCUUGACUUCCUGCAGCAAUAGCUGCUCCAACUCCAGUCUCUGCUUUAGUUCAUUCUUCAACUUUGGUAACUGCUGGGGUUUAUUUACUUAUUCGAUUUAAUUUAUUAUUUAACUAUAGGGUUUUUAGAAUAUUUUUACUAAAAAUUUCUUUAAUAACUAUAGUUAUAGCUGGAAUUAACGCUUUUUUUGAAAAUGACUUAAAAAAAAUUAUCGCUUUUUCAACUUUAAGUCAAUUAUCAAUUAUAAUAUUAACUUUAGCUUUAGGCCUUACUUCUUUGUCUUUCUUUCAUUUAAUUGUACAUGCUAUUUUUAAAUCAAUGUUAUUUUUAUGUGCUGGGUUUAUUAUUCAUAAUUUAAUAGGAAACCAAGAUAUUCGUUUUCUUUCAAAUUUUUUUAAAUUCAGUCCUACAAUUUUAAGUUGUAUAAUUAUUGGAAUAUUAUCUUUAAUGGGG